ensembl:lncRNA
AACACCUUGUAGAGUCAACAUGGGCCAGCAUCCCUGUGGAACGCUUUCAACUCCUUGUAGAGUCAACAUGGACCAGCAUCACCGUGGAACGCUUUCAACUCCUUGUAGAGUCAACAUGGGCCAGCAUCCCUGUGGAACGCUUUCAACUCCUUGUAGAGUUCAUGCCCUGAGAAUUUAGGCUGUUCUGAGGGCAAAAGGAGGUGCAACUCAAUAUUAGUAAGGUGUUCUUAAUGUUUUGUAUACUCAGUGUGUACUAUAAUGCAUUGUGCCUCUCAAGGGGGUGGAAACUGAGGCUAGACUGGGCCUGACUGAAGGCUGGCUGGCCUGAUGCAUUAUGACCUGAAGCUCACAGGCAUUUACAAUGCCCUCCACCAAUCCCCUGGCCUGUUACUGUUAGGUUGAAUGCCCUCCACCAAUCCCCUGGCCUGUUACUGUUAGGUUGAAUGCCCUCCACCAAUCCCCUGGCCUGU